rnacentral:ncRNA from 1 species
CUUGAAUUACAAUUCGAAUCGAGCGGCGAGCUGAAUCCUUUGCAGACGACUUAAAUACGCGACGGGUAUUGUAAGGGUAGAGUGGCCUUGCUGCCACGAUCCUCUGAGAUUCAGCCCUUUGUCGCUCCGAUUCGU